rnacentral:rRNA from 1 species
UACGAAGGGUGCAAGCGUUACUCGGAAUUACUGGGCGUAAAGCGUGCGUAGGUGGUUUGUUAAGUCUGAUGUGAAAGCCCUGGGCUCAACCUGGGAAUUGCAUUGGAUACUGGCAGGCUAGAGUGCGGUAGAGGAUGGCGGAAUUCCCGGUGUAGCAGUGAAAUGCGUAGAGAUCGGGAGGAACAUCCGUGGCGAAGGCGGCCAUCUGGACCAGCACUGACACUGAGGCACGAAAGCGUGGGGAGCAAACAGGG